rnacentral:rRNA from 1 species
GAUGAACGCUGGCGGCGUGCCUAAUACAUGCAAGUCGAGCGAACAGACGAGGAGCUUGCUCCUCUGACGUUAGCGGCGGACGGGUGAGUAACACGUGGAUAACCUACCUAUAAGACUGGGAUAACUUCGGGAAACCGGAGCUAAUACCGGAUAAUAUAUUGAACCGCAUGGUUCAAUAGUGAAAGACGGUUUUGCUGUCACUUAUAGAUGGAUCCGCGCCGCAUUAGCUAGUUGGUAAGGUAACGGCUUACCAAGGCAACGAUGCGUAGCCGACCUGAGAGGGUGAUAGGCCACACUGGAACGUAGACACGGUCCAGACUCCUACGGGAGGCAGCAGUAGGGAAUCUUACGCAAUGGGCGAAAGCUUGACGGAGCAACGCCGCGUGAGUGAUGGAGGUCUUCGGAUCGUAAAACUCUGUUAUUAGGGAAGAACAAAUGUGUAAGUAACUAUGCACGUCUUGACGGUACCUAAUCAGAAAGCCGCGGCUAACUACGUG